rnacentral:sRNA from 1 species
CACCCACUCACCCAUCCACCCAUACUCACUCACAUCUCUCUCUCUCUCUCUCUCUCUCUCUUCUCUUUCUCUCCACUCUCUCUCACUCUCACACAAGGCCGUGUUGGCACGUGGCGGCCAACCGGGGCUAGCAGCCCAGUAUCAGCCUAGCAGCAGCCUAGCAAGAGCCUAGCAGGGACCCUAAUUGUUCUGCCGCCCGCGGGGCUCUCUGGGCUGCAGCGCCACGAUGAUGAUGAUGAUGAUGGCGAUGAUGAUGAUGAUGAUGAUGGCGAUGAUGAUGAUGAUGGUGAUGAUGGCGAUGAUGGUGGUUGAUGGUAAUGCGAGCUAUUGUACUCCGUAUAUUACUAGUUUUCAUCUAUCAAUCAAUGCUCAGUGGUAAUUCAGCAC